UACGUAGGGGGCAAGCGUUGUCCGGAUUUAUUGGGCGUAAAGAGCGUGUAGGCGGCUAGGUAGGUGGGUUGUGAAAACUGGAGGCUCAACCUUCAGACGUCGACCCAAACCCCUGGCUAGAGUCCGGAAGAGGAGAGUGGAAUUCCUGGUGUAGCGGUGAAUGCGCAGAUAUCAGGAAGAACACCCGUGGCGAAGGCGGCUCUCUGGGACGGUACUGACGCUGAGACGCGAAAGCGUGGGGAGCGAACAGG
rnacentral:rRNA from 1 species